GUGCUUGCUUCAGCAGCACAUAUACUAAAAUUGGAAUGAUACAGAGAUUAGCAUGGCCCCUGUGUAAGGAAGACACAUAAAUUUAUGAAGCAUUAAAAAAAAUG